UACGUAGGGUGCAAGCGUUUGUCCGGAAUUAUUGGGCGUAAAGAGCUUGUAGGCGGUUUGUCGCGUCUGCUGUGAAAUUUCGGGGCUCAACCCCGAACUUGCAGUGGGUACGGGCAGACUAGAGGUAGGUAGGGGAGAAUGGAAUUCCCGGUGUAGCGGUGAAAUGCGCAGAUAUCAGGAGGAACACCGGUGGCGAAGGCGGGUCUCUGGGCCGAUACUGACGCUGAGGAGCGAAAGCGUGGGGAGCGAACAGG
rnacentral:rRNA from 1 species